CUUACUUACCCUCUCCCCCUCAGCUCCUCUGGCUACCCCCCAUUCCACUAACAGGUUUAUCAGUCAGGGAUCAGAUGAUCCAAGGAAUUAAUAAAUUAAUUCCAUCAAAAUGGGACAACAUCUCUGAUGAUGAGUAGGGCCGAGCCAGGGAUGCCUGUCCGCGGGAACCAGAGCCGGUGCUAUCUAUAACCUCCAGUACCCAGAAUGGUACAGAAUACCCUGGGCCCGGUCAGUGGACUCAACCUUUAACCACACAACACCUUCCAUGGGAGGAACUGAACCUACUCCCUCCUCAACCUUCUGGCUGCUUCUUCCCUUACAUGGAUUUCCACACAUCCUGUAACACUCUGGCAGGAUACUACGUUGAUCUGUGGACAUUUAUGGCACUUGCAUUCUGACAAUCCACUUCAUGACGCAGUCUGUGUAGCCCUCUCCUGGCUGGAUUUGGAACAUAAUGCCACAGUGCACGGAGGGUGAUCAGGCCCAGACUUGCUCUGCUCAUAGAUUCCCAGUGAGCAGAGUAUGGCCUACAUAGGGCUGGCUGGCUGCUUAUCUGCCUAUAUAGGGCACCUAUUUCCAGUAGCCUCCAGUAGCUAGGUGGGACUUGUCCUACGUGCUGGCUGCCAGUGCAUGGAGAUAGUAGUACGUGACCAGGCCAAGGCAUGUGCUCAUGUUCCCAGUGAGGGUUGCCUAUAUGGGGGACCAGAACCCAGGCAAUAUCCAGCCUCCUGUAACUCCCCUGGGUUAGGGUUUUUAUAUAAUUCAUUGUCUUUCUUAUAGAUGUGUGUGUGGAAUUCCCCCUCCCUCAUCCGAUGUUUAGAGGGUCCUCUAGAAAUUAUUUAAGAAUCUGACCCUUUUUAUAACUGCUAUUGCCUGUAUAUUUGUGUGUUACUUUUAGCCACCAGACCUACAAGAUGAAAAAGCCAAUAUGGCUAUUUCUCUCCCCCUCUACAACCGAUUUGAAAGCUAAGGGCAGGGUUCUAAUCUGGGUGAGUUUUCAGUGACUUCUACUUUAAAAAGGGAAGAGAGACAGACUCUUCUUAGGCCCUAAGCUCCUCUGAACCCACAACUUAUCAAGAGUUACUGUAAGUUACUUCAGGUCAUACACCAUUCUGAGAUUUUAGCCCACUCUCAAUCCUGAUUUAGGCCCUCCUGGU